UGGGGAAUAUUGCACAAUGGGCGCAAGCCUGAUGCAGCCAUGCCGCGUGUAUGAAGAAGGCCUUCGGGUUGUAAAGUACUUUCAGCGAGGAGGAAGGCGUUGUGGUUAAUAACCGCAACGAUUGACGUUACUCGCAGAAGAAGCACCGGCUAACUCCGUGCCAGCAGCCGCGGUAAUACGGAGGGUGAAAGCGUUAAUCGGAAUUACUGGGCGUAAAGCGCACGCAGGCGGUCUGUCAAGUCGGAUGUGAAAUCCCCGGGCUCAACCUGGGAACUGCAUCCGAAACUGGCAGGCUAGAGUCUUGUAGAGGGGGGUAGAAUUCCAGGUGUAGCGGUGAAAUGCGUAGAGAUCUGGAGGAAUACCGGUGGCGAAGGCGGCCCCCUGGACAAAGACUGACGCUCAGGUGCGAAAGCGUGGGGAGCAAACA
rnacentral:rRNA from 1 species